CGAAGGGGCUAGCGUUGCUCGGAAUCACUGGGCGUAAAGGGCGCGUAGGCGGCCGAUCAAGUCAGGGGUGAAAGCCUGUGGCUCAACCACAGAAUUGCCUUUGAUACUGUUUGGCUCGAGACCGGAAGAGGUUGGUGGAACUGCGAGUGUAGAGGUGAAAUUCGUAGAUAUUCGCAAGAACACCAGUGGCGAAGGCGGCCAACUGGUCCGGUUCUGACGCUGAGGCGCGAAAGCGUGGGGAGCAAACAGGAUU
rnacentral:rRNA from 1 species